UCCCUGCGGCCAUCUGAUAGGGUGCGCGGCGUUACGAGCACGCCCCGCGGGGGGGGGGGGGGGGGCGCUGCCUAGUGACUGCGCAGGCGCGGCAUGCUGGAGUAGCCCUUUGACAUCCACCGUUUUCCUCCUCAGGUCGCUCACCGGGCUCAGCUGAGGAUGCUUCGGGCCGCGUUUGGCGCGUGUGUUUCGCUGAGAGUCUUGGCGCAGCCAAGAGCUUGGGUCGCCGUGUGUUCCUGUGUAGCUGUAGUCGUAAAUAAAGUGCACAGCUGGCCAGUUCAUGGUUCCAGGCUUCAGCUUCAACUUUCAGAACCUGCCUCUACAACAUCUUCAAAACUCCUGAAUGUGAGUGUUCCAGAAGAAUGUUCCUUCUCCCAGCACCAUCUCCUUGUGGAUACCCAGUUUCUAAGGACACUCUCUGCCUUGAGUCACACACCCAGAUAAACAGCUAGCUCUCCCACUCCCUUCUCCCCUAGCUGCUCUCUGGCCAAAGGAAGUGUGUUUCAGCUCUCUUACCAGGAUCAGGGCUUUGUCUAAGUGCGCCAGUUUUCAGUCUCUCUGAAAAACUGUAUUGGGAGCCACAAUCAGGACAAUAUUCCAGGCAGGAUUUGACUUGGUAUGGUAGAAAAGACCCACCACAUCUUGUGGUGUGCGUAUAUACUGUGGUUAAUGUAACCUAAGUAUAUAUUGGGACUUUGGCAACUAUAUCAUAGUGUUGACUAUUUUAGGUUUGUGGCCAACUGAAAAUCCUAGACCUUUAUUCACGAACUGCAGGUGUCUCCAG
rnacentral:lncRNA from 1 species